rnacentral:lncRNA from 1 species
AUUAUCAGUAACGACCUGCACGGCAUUCUCCUCUCCUACCAGAUCAAUCACAUCCUCCAUAAGUUUCAGCAUGUACGCGGUGUUGUGCACAUAAGCCGAAGCAUCAACCGACUUGUGGAAGAAGGUCUUAGCAUCACAAUAUGUCAGGAAGUUGAUGAUGCUCCGUCUGGUCGGACCGGUCCAACCAUCGCACAUGAUGGUUAGUCCAUAUAUGGGCCACUUGCUCUUGUAGGAGUCAAUCCAAUUCUCCAGCUCCU